UUUGUCUAUAGCUUUGUCUAUCAGUUUCAAUAAUCGGCCCGCUGGUGAGAUCAAACAUCAGAUCUGUAGCAUGUAAGCAGAAAGAUAUCAUGUAAAGAUAAGUGUAAGGUGUCCAAUGACAUGGAAAGAGCAGUUACAAAUAACUCCAAGAAAGCAAAACACUCUACGAUAGCAACUUCACAUGGGUAGGGGAGAUUGAGGGUAUUUGGGUCAUGGGGUUCAAUGGGUCACAUGGAAUAUUUUCCCGCCUAAUAGGAAUUUUUCGGUUUUGCCGGCGUAGGAAGUUGGCAAGACUUGUAUUCUACCAAAAAAAUGUGCAGUGACGUCAUCGGCAUUCUUUGUUUUUAUUUUGGAGCCACAUUAGCUGCGGAGCUGUCGAAAUCGGCAGAAAACGGCGAUUUUUCUUCCAAGAAGUUUGUGCACCUUGAGAUCAUGACCUGAAAGUUCACCAGGAAGAGGGAACAACCUAGGAUUCCUCCGAGGAUUCCAAGAUUCCUUCGACUGCAGUGAUAACAGGAAACUCUUUCAUGACCAUGUAACGCCGUGCUGGUCUCUUUUGAUGUUAAUUUCUUUUUUAUUUUUGUACUUUUUUAGUGGUUGAUAAUGGUGUUGUGAGACACCGAAACGUCCUGUGUUUAGGUAUAUUUGUAUUUUAGCCUUUUCUCAACUGUUUCCUUCUUUUAGUUUUUAAGUUUGGACUAAAAGUAAAAAUGUUCCGUACAUAAAUAUGUUUUGCGCCAAAGCAUUAAUUUAUAUACCUAUUUAGUAUGUUACCUAUGAAAAUAAAUUGUUGCCCAUUUAGAUUACCUAAUUCUUCUUUAUAAGGUUACCCAUGUUCCUGUGGUUCUAGAUUAAUUUGUGUUCAUUAAAAUUUAUUUCUUUAA